AAUGAUUUUGACAUCUAGCUGUCCUUUCAGCUUCUCUUUGUAGUUUGAUUAACUGAUUGGAUGUUGUGAUUGCUAAAAAUAAUGUAGUACCAUGAAUUUUAAUCAAACAAGUAGAUCAACAGUAUGCUGUGUCAUUUGAUAUUCAUAGGUUGGACUACGUAAGGCAAAAGGAUGGAUGUCUAGGGCAAUUACAUGUUGUAAGUGGCAAUGUUGAACUGUCCUUGUAAUUUCAAUGAUCUUUCUAGUGUCUGACAGGAAAUUAUAGGAAGAUGAAUUCACUUUGCCAUUCAUGUGCUUGGAGGGAAUGUAUGUGGGUUUCUGGUGUUGGCAUUCAGGGAUUUAUUUAUUUGGCACAUGUUUUAUGGGGACUUACAGGGAGGAGUCGAGCACAGUAUGGGCAGUCUUUUAAUUUCUUUAAAUCUGCCUUCCUACCCUGGGUGGGGGGAGGGGGCAUUACUCAUAAAUAUCAUCAGAGAACUUUUUAAAAAGUUAAGCCACUGUUGGGAUAACUUACAGGUAAGAAACCCAGUGGGCUGUGUUCUAGCCUGUUAAUUGAUUCCAGUCUUGUCAUGGGUGGUGUAGCAAUAGCAACUUUUCUGCUGUGAGUAGUCUUCCGUCCAGCACUUGCAGAUUCAGUAACAGCUGGAAGAGACUGACUGCUGCUUGGAGGCAUGUCAGUCAAGCUUGAUAUCGGGUGCCAAAAUAGCUUCUGUCAUCGCUGUCUCCAUUCUAGCAGCUGAUUAGCAGCAGGGUGUUUGCUCACUGCUCUGGUAUGCCUAUUUUUAAUUUUCUCAGAAAACAGUUUUGGAAAUUAAAAGAAUCCUUAAUUUUUUUCUUCGUACUGUUAAAUGUAGUCUGCUACUCCCCAGUUGCCAUGGGUUUCUAAAUAAUAGAAAGUGGUUCACACGUGCACACAUACACUUUAUUUAUUUUCUGUUUAUCUCAGAGAAAAUAGAGAAUGCAGCUGUGUUGACACUAGCAAACUUUCAAAAUUCCUGGUGAUUUUUAGACUUCAUUUAUUGCCAUACUAUAAAGCUUUGUGUGGAAUGGAUAACCAUACAGUGGUGCCUUGCUUAACGAAUGCCCUGCUAAACGAAAUUUCCGCUUAACGAAAGGAUUUUUCAAGCGGAGGUUGCCUCACUAGACGAAUCCGUUUUACGAAAAAUUCGUCUAGCGAAUCACGGUUUCCCAUAGGAAUGCAUUGAAAUUCAAUUAAUGCGUUCCUAUGGGCAAAAAAAAAAAUUCGCAAAAAAAUUCAAUGCAUUCCUAUGGGAUUCGCUAGACGAAUUUUUCGUUAUAAGAAAAGACCCGUGGAACGAAUUAAAUUCGUCUAACGAGGCACCACUCUAAUAGUAAUUUCUUUGUGGUUUGGCUGAUGACCUGUGUGGCACUUGAUGGUGUGAUUUUCUUUCAAAGCAUUAAAAUACGACAUUUUGUUCUAAUUAAAGAUAAGGUGUUGCAUACUCUUAGCCUAUUACUGCUUUUGUUUCAGGAGGACCUCACCUGUGAGUUCACAAUUUGUGGUAAAUGUUUGAUCAUGAUGAAAGCCAUUUUAGAUGUGCAACUAGAUUAUACUUUCUGUAUUGCCAAUUAGCCCUUAAGUGAAAUCUUAAAAGGCAGCAUCAGUAAAGAUAAAAUUGUAUUGUAUAUAAGCUCUUGUCUCCAUUUGAAAUGGUGGUGGUUUUGUAGCUAAUGAACCCUCUAAUGUGUAUAUCAACUAAAGUUAUUUAGCUAUUUUUAAAUUAUUGCUGCAUGAGGAAAAGUAAUUUAUUUUACACGUAUGUGAUUUGCACAAGUAAAAUGUUUGAAAUGGAGGGCUCUGAUACAGAUAACCCCAUUAUGUGAGCUUAAGUGCUUUUGUGUACACCGGAGUAUAUGUGCAGUACCCACUUUCCUUUCCAUUACAGCAACUCUCAGUGUCUGCCACUGUGGAGGGUUUCUUCUGGGUCAGCAUGCCAGUCAGUUGACCAGUCAACUAUUGUCGAUUGACCAUCUGCUUGAACGCUUUCAAAUAUUCCAUGAUCCCAAGAUUAUUACUUGUAGCUGGCAGCUUACUUUCGCAACUACUUUAACAUUUUUGAUUUUUAUUAUUAGUUUCUUUCUUUCUUUCUUUCUUUCUUUCUUUUUAGAAAAAUCAUUUAAAAAGCAUACAAAAAACUGCAGGCCAGCUGGUGCUCCAGUAUAAAAGCCAAGCAGAAACCGUUCAGUAAAUUGUUCAUACUAACCUAUCAUCAUUAGAAGUAAUUAUAAUUUCCAUCAAAAAAUUAAUUUCAUUAUAGUGGAAUCACGUCUUAUGCAAGGGUUAGGUUCUGGAGUCAGCAUGUCAGGCAAGAAAAUUUCUUAUCAAAAUUACAAUCAAAAUCUUUAGACACACUUUCCCUCCCCUGUGAGACUGUGAGGCACAGCUUGUUUUUGAGCUGGAGCUGUAUGUAUUGGUAGUCCAGUGAGAGGGGCUUUCCUGCCCACUCCUCCAUGUGUGAGCCUUUCCCAGCUGUGACCCCCUCCUCGUAAAACAACUUGCAAUGAAUCAUCAAAGGUAUUGCACAAUCUUACUGAAUGUGUCCUUCAAGUUUACCUUCUUGUAUCCUUUAAACAAAAAGAUUUAAUAAAAUUAUUAUUUGAGACCCAACCAAAACAUAGCAGCAUGGCAUGCAUUGGCAAAACCAUAGAGAUAUAGAUGGUAGAGUUAAGGGGCUGGAUAUUCAAGCUCAACAGAGCAGAUUUCAAUUUAUUUUUAUUUUUGAGUAUGUUAAGUAUGGAAUGGAGUUGCUCUCACAUUGACUACUUACAGGUAGGUAGCCAUGUUCAUCUGCCAUAGUCAAAACAAAAUUUAAAAAAAUUCCUUCCAGUAGCACCUUGAAGGUAAAGGGAACCCUGACCAUUAGGUCCAGUUGUGACGGACUCUGGGGUUGCAGUGUUCAUCUCGUGUUAUCGGCCGAGGGAGCCGGCGUACAGCUUCCAGGUCAUGUGGCCAGCAUGACAAAGCCGCUUCUGGAGAACCAGAGCAGCACACGAAAAUGCCGUUUACCUUCCCGCUGUAGUGGUAGCUAUUUACCUACUUGCACUUUGACGUGCUUUCGAACUACUAGGUUGGCAGGAGCUGGGACCGAGCUAGGUUUGUUAUUGGUAUGAGCUUUCGUGUGCAUGCACACUUCUUCAGGUAUCUUAUUUAGUUUCGACAUUGACUACUGUGAUGGUAGAACUUAAAAGGCUCUGAACCCCAGUCACUGAGAAACAUAAGCUACUGCAUUAACCCCCAAAAAAGGUUCUAAAUAUUGCAGAAAUGCAUAUUUUCAGUUAACAUUAUACCAUUAUGAAUAUACAAACUUCAGGCCGAUCUUGAGUUGUUCAUACAGCUCUUGUGUACCAAAGCACGGGCCACUUGAGAAGAAGGGAAAAAACCUGUAUCUUGCUAAAGAGAACUAAAUGCCUAUGUCAUGUGUGGAUUAUCCUUUCCUCCCCCCCCCCUCCCCCGCAGCCUCAGAGGCAAGAAGAACAAACAGUUCGUAUUUUAUGGCUUUUUAUUCAGUCAUCUGGUUGCAAGACAAAAGAUCCUUGUCUCCACGCAUAGGAUAUGUUGUUUAUAUCACAAUGUUUAGCUGGUGAUAUAGUGCAAUGUUGAAAACCCCAAAUCACCCAUCCCUACUCCUCACAUCAUGACCAUCUGCUAAGGUUUAAAUACAAACAUUUUGAACUAUUUUUGAAUCUCAAAUUUCUUGAAGACCAUUUGCUAAUAAAGACCAUCCUUCUGCACCAUACACCUAUGAACACUGAACAGGUUUUUGAGCCAUUUUCUGAGGGAAGGCUAAGCUCAGGCAUCCCCAAACUUCGGCCCUCCAGAUGUUUUGGACUACAAUUCCCAUCUUCCCCGGCCACUGGUCCUGUUAGCUGGGGAUCAUGGGAGUUGUAGGACAAAACAUCUGGAGGGCCACAGUUUGGGGAUGCCUGGCUAAGCUCCAGGUCCCAUAAUUUGACAUCUUGAUUUGACACCACCUCACCCCUGCCUGUAAUAUACUUUUCAAAUGCCUAAUUUCCUAUCCCUUGCGCUCUGUCUAAAACAGUUGCGUUUUUCUUUUAACCAAACCAUGUAAUUAUUGCUCAGAAUGAGAAAUGUCUAGCAGAUAAUGAACAGAAGUUCUCUAUUAUUACCUGUUCCUAAUGAGUUGGUGGAAAUAUAUUAUUUUAUUUUUAGAAAGAAAGGUCUAGGUAUAUAGGACAUAGCCUUAUGUAAUGACACAGUGAUAGGCAUGACAAUUUGGAAUAUUAUUAUUAACUCCCCUUGUCCUGCUGUCACCAUUCUCCUUUUAAGCAUGCUCAUGUUCCUUCAUGAAAAAUAGUUGAACUUGAGAAACACAGGGAAGAAAAAUCUCUUAUUCAGACUCCAUGGUAGGUUUAUCAUAGAUAGCCAAUUUUGUUAGGACCAUCUGUGGAAUACAGGACUACAUUUUUAGGGCUUGAAUUAUAUCAUAAUAACAAAAGUUUACAUUUUAUAUAGCGCUUUUGAAUUGCUCAGAGUGCUUUAUGUAUGUUAUCUCAGGAAUCCUUAACAAUAUCUUUGUAGGGGUAGGCCAAUCUCAUUCCUAUAUUAUAGGGAAGGUGAAAGCGGUUUGCCCUAAGACAAGAGAGUUUGUGGCUUAUGUGAAAUUUGAAGCAGGCAGUAAUCCUAGGUUUCUAACCUUUCUCUACUAAAUGGAAAUUUUUAUUUGGAGGGUGGGGUGCUAAUUUAAUCACUGAGGUAGUACAGUAGUGGAGUUGUUAAAUCAUUCUUCCCACCCCCACAAUGCUAAUUUUCUGAUCUAAAUCGUUCACUCCAAAAAUACAGUUUCCUCGGUUGAGCAGCUAGGAUCAGGAGACAUGCUUGGGGGGGGGGGAGGUUUAAACAGUUUAACUUUGGUGCUGCUUUUUCAAGAACAGAACUCCCCUUGGACCAGUCAUUGAAGGAAUGGGGAAGAGAGUCUAAUGCCCUUCCCUAUACAUGACUCUGGAGAGAGUGUUUAUCUCCAGGCAUCCAGAAUCUCCAGGCAUCCAGAAAAAGUAAGAGGGGAGAGACUACUCUGUGAUUCCCCCCCCCAAAGACAAAUAAAUGAUUUCCCAGUUGCGUGUAUUUCCAGUAGGCGAAAGCAAGAAUUGUAGGUUCUAUAGAAAGAAUGUUAGAGAAUUAGAAGCCUUGCAAAUGAAUCACAUCGGUAUGAAGAUCCUAUUGAAAUGGCAGUUGUGUGUGAUUUUGUUCUGAUGCAACACACACACACACACACAACACAAUGUUAAAAUCACACCCAGCCCUAGUCACCAGUAGGAUGUGUAAGGUUCAGACCCUUAUCUCUGAACUAAGUUAGAAUAUGAAAAAAUGUGGAAUUCAUGAUCCUCUUCUCUCAGUUUUGUGUGACCUGAGUGUAUGCAGUUCUGCUUUUAGAAAGGUGUUGAAGUUGGCAGAAAUCUCAUGAUAAGUUGUAGGGUUUCAAGACCUGUGCAGUUUAGGAGUAGCACAAUUUGCAUGAAAUUUGUUAUGUGCAAAAUGCUUAAGUGGCGCUGUGGUUAAACCACUGAGCCUAGGGCUUGCUGAUCAGAAGGUCGGCGGUUCGAAUCCCUGUGACGGGGUGAGCUCCCGUUGCUUGGUCCCAGCUCCUGCCAACCUAGCAGUUCGAAAGCACGUCAAAAUGCAAGUAGAUAAAUAGGAACCGCUAUAGCGGGAACGUAAACAGCGUUUCCAUGUGCUGCUCUGAUUUGCCAGAAGCAGCUUUGUCAUGCUGGCCACAUGACCUGGAAGCUAUACGUCGGCUCCCUCGGCCAAUAAUGCGAGAUGAGCGCGCAACCCCAGAGUCGGUCACGACUGGACCUAAUGGUCAGGGGUCCCUUUACCUUUACCCUUAAGAAAGUCUUUUGACACACUGGGCAGAUGACAGCCUAAGGCCCCAUCUGCACCAUACAUUUAAAGUAGUAUCAUACCACCUUAAACAGUCAUAGCUUCCCUCAAAGAAUCUAAUGCAAACAAGCCUUUCCCACUGAUAAUUGGAUUUAUUCUAAAUGUUCACGUCCUGGGAAGCUUCAACAUCUUUUCCCACAAGAGACAAUUCAGUCACCUGGCUGUGAAUUCUGAAUUGCCAGAGAGCUCUUGGGAUCCCCUUGUGGGAAGUUUGUAUUGAUAUGUCUGAUAGUAAUUCAGUGCUUUUGUUAAUUGCAAUUCAAUAUACCUUCAGUCCAGAACUAACAUUAAUCACGCUUUGUGUCUUAGAGCUAAAGCCUUGCCAGGAUGCUUCAUUCCUAUAACUGGAUAUCUCCUCCAGCAGCCUCUGCCCAAUGGAUUACUCCAAAUGUGAAAUAUUUUUAUUCCACCAGGAGGAUGCUCCAUGCUCCUCUAUUUUUCAAAACGGCUCUGAUCCUGUGGAUGGCUGUAGAAACAAUAUGACUUCCUUCAUUAGAUUCCUUAUCUCCUCUCUCUGCCUCUCAAGCAGUGUUUCGUAAUUUCUUCAGAUUAGUCUGUAGAUUGUAGGAAAUGCACGUCAGUGUUAUCCAAAAAGGAAACCUUUUUCUGUUUUUGAACUUCAUUUGAAGGCACUUCCUGUUCUCACUUGACACCAUUGGGUACCCUUUCAGAAAGUGGAGGCAAUUUAUAAGCUGUCAAUGUAGUUUGCUGAGGACAGAGUACCAAAAUUAAUUGAACCAAUGCUAGGAACCCCAGACUCGGCCAUGGCAACCUACACUGAAGGUCAGGAAACCACUUUGUCCUUCCUUUCUCUGGACAGAUCUUGUUUCUCCCUCCUAUCUCUACCUUUCCUUAUUUCCCUGAGCCUCAAAAUAUUUCAACCCUUGCAAUAUCCAAACUUCAGUCAUUUGCAUCUGUGCAUUCUUUCCUCCUCCACACAAUGCAUAUGGCCUUCUGUUGCAACUCUGCUGGUUCCCUUGGCAAUUUCUCAGUCUCCAUCUAUAUACCUCCAUCUAUACUUAAUGCUUAAGUAGUAUAGUAGUAGUAAGAGUAAUAAUAACCGGCCCAUUUAAGCAAUGAGUAGCCUAUGUAACUUGUAACAACUAGCCAUCUUGCCGUUUUAUAUUUGUGCAUUAGGGCUUCAAGCCACAAAACCACUUUCCUCACUGUCUGCUAUUUUGUGUAAAUAGUAGGUAUUAUAAAUAUAGCGACAUUGCUAUUCUUCCCCCCAAACCUUUCUAAAUUGGCAGGAGCAUGACCAUAGUGCAGUAAUCUCUGCCAAAAGUUGUACUUCUUUGAGCAUGCCUGACAGGUUCACAUCUAGGUGUGAAUGGAAGAACAAUCUGAUCCACUAAUACUCUUGCCACACGUUGCACCCUAUUGUGAAGACAGGAACAACCCCCAUUUUCCCUUGCCAGCUCCAAUUUUGCGGCUAGACAGUGUGAUGGGAGCUUGUUGUUUUCCCCUUUCUUUAAAAGAAUGGGUAUCAGACCCGUAAAGUACUUAUAGGUUGCAGUCCUCUAGCUUCUUACCUGAGUACAUCAAGCUGAAUUCAAUGGGACUUUCUUCUGAUGUAGCCAUGUUUAGAAUUGUGCUGGUACUCACUCUGACCUCUUUAGUAGAAGGUUGUGUGUGUGGAGGGGGCUGUAUUCAAACUGAUCUCGCACCAUCCCCAGGUAUUGCAUUCUACUAGUCAUCAUUCUUAAAAAAUUGUUAGUCGAGUCAGUUCAGGAGAGAGGCACCACUUAAGACUUCAGAGAGCAAGCCCAUUCCAGAAUCACAGAUGAGCUGCAUUACAGGAAUGCAAAGAAUCUUAAGAUUAGAUGUUGGUAUGGUCUAUUCAGAGUGACUUAAAAUGCUGGUGAUAAGCAAAUGUAAACACUGUUGAGAUAAGUAAGCCAUACUUUAAAAUAGAACACCAUUUCCUCGAUCAUAAAUAAGGGCUGUGGAUCUAGGAAAUAUUGCCAACUAAACUUAAACGACGAGUUUGGAUUUACAAAAAUAUUUAUUCAUCAAUAUGAGAAAGUGGAAAAUGGGAUUGAAAAUAUGACUUCUGGUAACUUUUGACUAUAAAAUACGUCAAAUUUAAGGUUUACUUCCAUAUAGCCUGUGUGUAUGGACUUGAGUUGUUAUGCUAAAAUUUCUAUUUUGAUUUUUUUUUUUAAAAAAAGAACACAAUUAUAAAACCACAUCAAAGACUUUAAUUAAAAAUUGCAGAAAUGUAUAUUUUUUUACUUGUUGCUUAUUUAAAUACCCAUGGAGUUAAAGAUGUUUAGUUCCUCCACUAAAAAUGCAGCCAGCACUCAUAGGUUUCACUUAAAAUGGUACUAGUGAGCCAAUUAUGCAGUUUGCCUUCGGUUCAACUGUUUGUCACCGGUUUGUAGGUUUACAGGCCAGCCUGCAAGAGAAAACUUUUCAGGUUUCCUUCUCCAUAUUACAAUGGAAGCUAAAAGAGGUGCAAGUGAUGUGCACAUCUCCUUCCACAUUAGCAGGCUUAACAGGCUUAACAGGAAAGGCGGAACAUUGCCUUUACAUAAAUCCUCCUAAAGGCAAACAUUGUGGGAAUGUUAAACCUGUUGAUGAGUGAAUUUUCAAAGGCUGAAUAUUCCAAAAGAGCAGAGUGUAAAUUCCAAGCCUUUUCCUAGAUGAACUCUUUAUUGUCCGGUAAAUAAGCAGUUUUACUUCUCAAGGGACUCACACAUCUUUCUUGCAAAUGUAGCAGAAGAUAUGGGAAACUUGCAAUUUUCCCCCCUCCAAGGACCCAAACAGUGUCCAGAGGGCUGUCAGUGUUAUGUCUCAUAUUCUUCCCCAUCAGAAGAAAAGGUUUAGCACAGACAUCCCCAAACUGCGGCCCUCCAGAUGUUUUGGCCUACAACUCCCAUGAUCCCUAGCUAACAGGACCAGUGGUCAGGGAAGAUGGGAAUUGUAGUCCAAAACAUCUGGAGGGCCGAAGUUUGGGGAUGCCUGGUUUAGCAGCUGAAUGUUCCUGCUGUAUCAGUUCAGUGUAAAAGCACUCACAUAGUAUUCCAGCAUAAAUACGCUCCCUCUGCUUCUGCAAUGCUCUCUUGUUUUGCAAUUGCCUUUCCGUUCCUUUGUUUAGUUCAGCUUAAUUUUACACAGAGCAUUUCCCGCAUUCCAGCAUGUGUACAUACUUAAUCUUUUAAAACAAUGCUGAGCAGUCUAGGCUGUUGAAAGAUUGUUAACCCACACUUCAGCACAGUUCUGCUGUGCAGAGAGCAGGAUAGUCUGCUUCUGGACUGGGACUAGGUAUUUUAGAGUAGCUGCAAAGGGUGGUAUUCAACUUGUUUUAUUUCGAGUAGACCUGUUGAAAUGAAUGGCCCUAACUUAGUCAUGUUCAUUAAUUUAAAUGGGCCUAUUGUGAGAAAAACUUAGUUGAAAAGCCUUUAUGGCUUUUGGGACUUUCAUGUUGUGUUACAUUGAACCAUUUUGCUUUGUUCUGAAAGGGCUGUAGAAGGAUGAAAUUCUUGUUAAAUAAACAGAAUCUAGGUUCUAUAUGCAUCUUGUAUUAACAUCUGUAAUACCUUUUGUUUAUGUGUUUGACCUUCUCCUGUAAAAAUAAUACUGAGUGCUUUGAGUGUUUUAAAAUAUAUAUUCUUCAUUUUCUCAUGAUCAGUGAACCGUUUUUUACACAUUAACCUAGACUUACUAUUUGGUGUGUGUGUGUGUGUGUGUGUGUGUGUGUGUGUGUUCCAUCCCUCAUGGAAACUGAAUAAAGUUAAAAAGGAAGGAGUAGAUUAGAUGUUUGCAUAUAGAACUAUGCAAUGGGUGUGUGCGUCUGUGGCAAAAUCAAAGAAAAUAGUUAUUUGCAAAUGAAGAUAAAAAUGCCAAAAUGUGACCUGACUAAUUUCAACCUCAACAUGCUCUGCUCUCCAGGUGUCUGAUAAAUAUUUAUCUGCUACUAGGAAUAAAGAAAGAUCUUUUAGUGUCAUGUAGGAGAGUGAGCAUUAGAACCCAACUCAGAGAAAGAGAGAAACUGAAUUUAUAACAAGCCAUAUAAGAGUGAACCAGGAUAUCAUUUAAUAUAUAUUUCAACAUCCAUGCUAUUAAGAGGGAGAGGAGUAUCAUCCAAGCAACUGAAAAUCAAAUGGGUCCAUUUUGCUGUGAUUCCAUUUAUUGGGACCAACAGUUGGCUGAUUUCUACUGAAAAAGGACACUGAAUUCUUGCGGCUAUUUUAUAUUUUUAAACUCUUAAACCUUUCCAAGUGUUUCUUAACCCAGCUCUCAACAACCUCUCACAUCCAAUCAUUGAAAAUUUUUAUGUUGUAUCAUAGAACUGCUGUAUGGCCUCAUUGCUCCCUAUUCAAUAGGGAUAGUAGAAAAGAUGUCAAGUUCCCUUUUACCUUCCCCAAACUGGUACCUUCCAGAUUAUUCUCGCUCUCCUUUGCAACCCCCAAAUGGACCCCACAAAAUUGGGAGCCCUCAAGAAGAAAGGUGGUGUUGUGUGGGGCCCACAGGAAGAAGGUGAAGUAACAAAAACCUCAUACCCUCCUUUUAUUAGAAUUGGUGUUAAUUGGAUCAAAAGUCCAAUGGCAUCAAUUGGAUUCCACCCAGUGUAUUUGCUCACUCGGUUUCCUGUUACUUUUCCUUUUUCAAUCCCUGUCAUCAGGGACUCAGGUGAUGAGAAAUACUUUUAUCUGAGACUUUGAAGAGCUGCUGCCAGUCUGAGUAGAUAUGGGGCUUGUUUUACCUAGCCAAAGUUAAGAUUAAUCACACUUCUGCAUUAGGCUGACUUGCUAAACUAGGAAUGGAGAACCUGUAACCUGUGUUGUUGGACUUAACAUCCUUAAUUAACCCCAGCCACCAUGGCCGAUGGUCAGGGAUGAUGGGAGUUGUAGUCCAUCAACAUCUGGAGGGCCACAAGCUCACCAAUCCUGUCCUGGACCACCUUUGUUGUUGUUGUUGUUUAGUCGUUUAGUCGUGUCCGACUCUUCGUGACUCCAUGGACCAUAGCACGCCAGGCACUCCUGUCUUCUACUGCCUCCCGCAGUUUGGUCAAACUCAUGUUCGUAGCUUCGAGAACACUGUCCAACCAUCUCGUCCUCUGUCGUCCCCUUCUCCUAGUGCCCUCCAUCUUUCCCAACAUCAAGGUCUUUUCCAAGGAUUCUUCUCUUCUCAUGAGGUGGCCAAAGUAUUGGAGCCUCAGCUUCACGACCUGUCCUUCCAGUGAGCACUCAGGGCUGAUUUCCUUAAGAAUGGAUAGGUUUGAUCUUCUUGCAGUCCAUGGGACUCUCAAGAGUCUCCUCCAGCACCAUAAUUCAAAA